CUUCCACUUGCGAAUAAUCACACCAACUGUUGUCACCUUCUCACCAUGCUGCUUGGCGAUGGUCUUGUAGCCCAUUCCAACCUUGUGUAGGUCUACAAUCUUGUUCCUGACAUCCUUGGAGAGCUCUUUGGUCUUGGCCAUGGUGAAGAGUUUGGAAUAUGAUUGAUUGAUUGCUUCUGUGGACAGCUCGUUACCUGUAUAAAAGACACCUGGGAGCCAGAAAUCUUUCUGAUUGAGAGGGGGUGAAAUACUUAUUUCCCUCAUUAAAAUGCAAAUCAAUGUAUAAAAUUUUUGACAUGCGUUUUUCUGGAUUUUUUUGUUGUUAUUUUAUCUCUCACUGUUCAAAUAAACCUACCAUUAAAAUUAUAGACUGAUCAUUUCUUUGUCAGUGGGAAAACAUACAAAAUCAGCAGGGGAUCAAAUACUUUUUUCCCUCACUGUAUAUGCCAAUCAUAGUAAGGUAUUAUUAUCAAAAUGGACCAAAUUAUGUGCUUGUAUUUUAAAACCUGUGUGUUUGAAUUAUUUUGUCUCUGUUAAAUGUGAAAUGCUUCUUCAAUUCAAAGUACUGAAUACUAUGAAAAGCCAUAACAAAACUAUGAUUUACUGAAAAAUGUUUUUUUUUUUUUUUUUACAAUAUGGUCAUGAUGUUGAUAUAUCAAAAUGUUUACUCGUUAUCACUGUGAGUGUUAGUUAUGCUUCUAAGAAUUCAAUCAUUUUACUUCUACUAGUGUUAACUUAUAGUGUACAUGGUAUAAUGCUGUAAACUUGUGAAUGCCACACCUCCAUAUUUGGAUGCCACACAUCCAUGGUGAUUUAUUUACUCAUUUGUUAAUUGACAAUUUCAGUAAGCAAAUAAUGUUAAUUAAGCACUGAAGAAAUUCAGAAUUGAGUGGUGAGGUCAUCUAGUAACUACCUCAAUUCCAGCAAGCUGUGAUGCUAGUAGUAGUUACCACUAAUACUCUGAAGUGGGUGAAAUUAAGACAAAAAAAGGGAAUGGCUUUCAUUUGACCUAAUCUGUAUGUCUGCAUGUAAUCCUACAAUUUUAAUCCUAACAUUCAUACAGUAAAUUUGAUGUACUGUGCUGUCUCUCAAGUAGUUAUUCUCUGUUAGUAAAAGGCAAUGCACCCAUAGAUGAGUCUGUUAUCUACAGUCAAUAACUAAAUGAAUAUGACAUGGUUUUCAUAUCAUGAUUUACAUUUACAUGUCAUUGCAAUGAAGAAUUAACGGCAAUAGCCCUUAAAAGAUGUGUGUUUAUUAAAGUGUGCCCGAUGCCAUUCAACAGAUGCUCAGAAGUCAUCUACACCAGCGUUGAAUAGUCGUCCUCCUCUCUUAUUUCCAAUCUAACAGAACUUGCUGUCACAUGUCCUUUUAUGAUGAGUAUCUGCUGGAAGGCAUUGUGUGCCCCCCUGUGUAUUAUUGAUAUAAGUGUGGCAUGAAAACUGACCCCUGGUGUGCCUCUGGUGUAACAAUGUCAUGUAAAUAAUUGCUAUUGUCUGGCUGCUUAUAAUGUAUGAAGUGUGUGAUGCAUAAUGUGCGUUCGUGUUAUUAAUGCAAGUCAUUUUAACAUUGUUUUGUUAUUUUGUUCAGUUUUUAUUAAAAGUGACAUAUUUUAUUACA
rnacentral:lncRNA from 1 species